rnacentral:rRNA from 1 species
CCUACGGGGGGCUGCAGUGGGGAAUAUUGGACAAUGGGGGGAACCCUGAUCCAGCCAUGCCGCGUGUGUGAAGAAGGCCCUCGGGUUGUAAAGCACUUUCAGUGAGGAAGAACGCCUGGUGGUUAAUACCCAUCAGGAAAGACAUCACUCACAGAAGAAGCACCGGCUAACUCCGUGCCAGCAGCCGCGGUAAUACGGAGGGUGCGAGUGUUAAUCGGAAUUACUGGGCGUAAAGCGCGCGUAGGUGGCUUGAUAAGCCGGUUGUGAAAGCCCCGGGCUCAACCUGGGAACGGCAUCCGGAACUGUCAAGCUAGAGUGCAGGAGAGGAAGGUAGAAUUCCCGGUGUAGCGGUGAAAUGCGUAGAGAUCGGGAGGAAUACCAGUGGCGAAGGCGGCCUUCUGGACUGACACUGACACUGAGGUGCGAAAGCGUGGGUAGCAAACAGGAUUAGAUACCCUUGUAGUC